rnacentral:rRNA from 1 species
UACGUAGGGUGCAAGCGUUAAUCGGAAUUACUGGGCGUAAAGCGUGCGCAGGCGGUGAUGUAAGACAGAUGUGAAAUCCCCGGGCUUAACCUGGGAACUGCAUUUGUGACUGCACGGCUAGAGUACGGUAGAGGGGGAUGGAAUUCCGCGUGUAGCAGUGAAAUGCGUAGAUAUGCGGAGGAACACCGAUGGCGAAGGCAGUCCCCUGGACCUGUACUGACGCUCAUGCACGAAAGCGUGGGGAGCAAACAGG